rnacentral:rRNA from 1 species
GGCAAUACCACUGUGAACACGCCCGAUCUUGUCUGAUCUUCAAAGCUAAGCAGGGCUGUGCCUGGUUAGUACUUGGAUGGGAGAAAUCAACAGCUUAAUGAA